CUUCUUCUUCCACUUCCUCCUCUCCUCUAACCGAGAUGGCAAAAGACUCACAACGUGCUUCCUGCAAAGGUGUGAAGCGUGUGGGGAGACUCCCUGCAUGAGAUGCUGAAAGUUCUUUGAAGAUGAAGAACAAGAAUGAGUGACUCCUGCAGGCCUUUACAGUCUGCUCAGGACACCUUGAAGCUGCUUUAAAAUGCACUGAGGUUCAACUUUGAUGUGAAAUGUCAGAAGGGGGCGAUGCCACGUCGACGUUGCCUGCUGACAGACUGUCUGAUGGGAAUGAACCUAAACGUCUCAUGGUCAUUCUUUGACUGCUUCAGCAUCAUGAUGGAGGCGUUCUGGUUCAAGGUAGCUGGUUUUGGACAUUGAAGAAGCUGCUGUCUUAUCACCAACUGAUGCUUGAUCAGGUUGAAACAGUCCUGAAGCAAGAGGACGAGGUUCUCCAGAUUUAAGGUUUCCUCUUCUGGGUGCCGAUGAGUCAAACGUCAUCCCCACUGCUGCCUGGACUGUGCUUCAGGUGCCGAGUCGUCACUGCACUCUUAAAGACAGACUGAAGCUUGAAGUCAUCUCACUGAUCUCGUGCUCCGUCGGUCCAUGUUUCGCCUGGAGAGAACUUCUGUGCCGUCAUGAAGAUCCAUCAGCCAUGCUGCCAAUGAAGUGGGAAUUCAAAAUAAAACUGUUGGCCUAUCAUA